ACGAGCGGUUCAUUUGGUGUGCAACACUCAUUUUAAAUUGCAAUUCCGCACGUUUAUCUUUGUUUAUCGAGUGUGUACUUGUUUUUUUGCGGUAAUCUUGGGUUAUUUUACAUUUUUCUUUACAAUUUC
ensembl:snoRNA D2021.6 ncRNA